rnacentral:lncRNA from 1 species
CAGCUUCAAAAACAAAUGAAGUAAGGGGAAAAUAAACUUGUGACAUAAUUAAACAGCAACCCUAGCCAACUACAGUUCCACAGGUGGAAAAAAUCUAGGAACCAUCUUUACUGAAAUUAAAUAUUGCACUCCUUUAACACACGUUAAGAGGAGUAUUUCACCUAAAGACAGCAUCUAAGAGGUUACUGCAAGUAUAAGCACAGGCUAGAAAAAACAAAUUCCUAUUUCCAAUGACAUCAGUAUAGCAAAAUAGCAAGUUGAAAAAUAUUUACAGAGAUAUCUACAGAACAUUCUUAACAGUGCUGAUUCGAUGCUGCAAUGCACUGAUAUUUCUAGUAACAUGGGGGACAGCAGAUUUCCUUCUCCAAGCUGGUUGUGCCCCCAAGAGCUGAGCAGAUCACCCCCUCAGUCCCAGUGCAGUUAAGAGCCUUCUUGCUGGUCUUCAAUCUUUGGAGCCAGGUAGUAUUUUAAGUGUCCCAUAUCAGCAAUCUUGUACUCCACAACGAGAGGAACAUCUGCAGACAUGCUGAGUGUUACUGUAGGUGACAGGGGGGUGGCUUUGGUAAAAAAGUUCAAAUACCUCAGAGCAAAAGUCAGCUGGACUGGCUCAUUCAUUUCUAUUGUAACAGCUUCUUCCUCUUUGUCCACAUUACUGGUCUGUGACAGCUUGAUGUUUCCAUUUCCUAACUCUCCAUUAGCUGAAAAUUUCACACCGUCUUUUGCACAGGAGAUGACAACAGCAUCACCAAUGUGGCUGAGGUCUCUACAAAUGCGUGCAAAUUCAGCAGAAGGCAUUUUCACUACACAACUGUAUUCUUGUUCUGGAAUUCCAAGCUGCUCCACAUCGAGGUCCAUAAGCUUCAUCUCAUAAUCAGAAACCUUUUCCUGAUUUGGUGCUUCAAACACUAGAGCCAACGUAUCCGCAUUGUCUUCUGCUCUGAGUGUUAUGAUGUCUUCAUUUCCAGCACACUUCAGUAUUUUAGACAUGCUGUUUAGGUUGACGCCCAUGGCGAUGUUGCGGUCGCAGCGGUAGGUGUCGAAGCCCUCAGAGCGCAGCGUGAGCUGCACCAGGGAGACGUGCGAGGAGUCCAUGCUCUGCAGGCUGAUGCCGCCCGAACCCAGGUCCCAGCACGCCUCAGUGAUGAGGUCCUUCAGGGCCUCCAGCACCCGCUUGAGCACCGAGCCCUGCACAAGCCGCGCCUCGAACAUCUUGGCGGCAGCAGCAGCGAACAACAACCACACGCAGCACGACUAGGCCCUC